ACUCACUUUAUCAAAUCUCAAUAUUUACAGACGCUGAUCAGCUCUUGGGGCCAGGAUGGCUCCCUGCCAGGGUGUUCUGGGAAAUUCAUUUUAAGGCAGAUUCUUUACCAUCUGAGCCACCAGGGAAGCCAGGGGUCCUGGAUUUUACCGCCUGACCCCAGCCACCCCAGGUGGGGGCCACUGAGUUCUCCAGGAGCAGGCUGCCCCCCACACCCAAUCUGGGUGGUCUCCUCUGCUGCAGAGAAGUUCUCGUCACAGAAAUGUGGUUUUCACGUACACAUCGGAGUCUGGAUCAGAACUUCUACCCCCGGCCGUAUGUUAUGCUGAUAAUUGGUACAAACACACCCUGAGUGCGAAGCACCCUUCUCGGAAAGCUGCUACACAGAGGAGAAGGCGACCAUCUGCAAACCAGCAAGAGGGCCCUCACCAGAACCCGACCGUGCCAGCACCCAGAUCCCCAGCUUCCAGCCCCUGGAACCGGGAGAAGUGAGUGUCUGUGGUUUACAAGCCUCCCAGCUUGGGGUGCUUUGCUGGGGCAGCCCUCGCGGACUAAGAACCUGACAGAUUAGGUCUUGCUCAGUGCUACACGACCAGUCAGGGCGAAGAGCGGGUCCUGCUGGCAUUACCCUCAGCUGACAGGCAAGGCUUCUCUUCCUGGGGUGAUCACGCCCUGCGCACCCCACUUGCUCUGCCUUCUCCCCGGCCUGGUCCCUCGUGGAGACAGAGGUUCGGGUCCUCUGGCCUCCCCCACGGUGGGUCUUCAUUGUAUCACAGGACGGUCCUUGUUGUCACAGUCUCUAUCAGCGCCAUCC
ensembl:lncRNA